AGCAAUCUGCCUUGGAGUGGGGAAUAACGGCUGGAAACAGCCGCUAAUACCGCAUGAUACAGUUGGGAGGCAUCUCUCUGACUGUCAAAGAUUUAUCGCUCUGAGAUGAGCUCGCGUCUGAUUAGCUGGUUGGCGGGGUAACGGCCCACCAAGGCGACGAUCAGUAGCCGGACUGAGAGGUUGGCCGGCCACAUUGGGACUGAGACACGGUCCAGACUCCUACGGAAGGCAGCAG
rnacentral:rRNA from 1 species